rnacentral:tRNA from 1 species
AAGGAUUAUAGUUUAUUAUUAAAACAUUUGAUUUGCAAUCAAAAAAUAUUGAAAUCAAUUUAUCUUAAA